CCACCAGCCGGGGAGUAUAUGCAGG
rnacentral:misc_RNA from 1 species